GAGAGCCGUGUGCAUUGAAAGGUGCAAGCACGGUUCGGAGGGGGGACAAGGGUAUCCUGCGAAAGCAGAGUCGCCUGCCCCACCCUAC
rfam:Candidatus Magnetobacterium bavaricum SAG43430, whole genome shotgun sequence.